rnacentral:rRNA from 1 species
CACGUAGGGUGCAAGCGUUGUCCGGAAUUAUUGGGCGUAAAGAGCUCGUAGGCGGUCUGUCGCGUCGGCUGUGAAAACCCGGAGCUCAACUCCGGACCUGCAGUCGAUACGGGCAAACUGGAGUACUGCAGGGGAGACUGGAAUUCCUGGUGUAGCGGUGAAAUGCGCAGAUAUCAGGAGGAACACCGGUGGCGAAGGCGGGUCUCUGGGCAGUAACUGACGCUGAGGAGCGAAAGCGUGGGGAGCGAACAGG